rnacentral:rRNA from 1 species
GAAGAUGGAAGCCGGAUCUGAGAGGAUGAUCGGCCACACUGGAACUGAAACACGGUCCAGACUCCUACGGGAGGCAGCAGUGGGGAAUAUUGCGCAAUGGGCGAAAGCCUGACGCAGCAACGCCGCGUGAGGGAUGAAGGCUUUCGGGUCGUAAACCUCUGUCGGAAGGGAAGAACGGGCAUUGGUCUAAUAGGCCUUUGUUUUGACUGUACCUUUAGAGGACGCCCCGGAUAACUCCGUGGCAGCAGCCGCGGUAAUACGGAGGGGGCAAGCGUUAUUCGGAAUUACUGGUCGUAAAGAGGACGUAGGCCGCUUUGUAAGUCAGGGGUGAAAUCCCACGGCUCAACCGUGGAACUGCCUUUGAAACUGCGGAGCUUGAAUCCUGGAGAGGAUGGCGGAAUUCCUGGUGUAGGAGUGAAAUCCGUAGAUAUCAGGAGGAACACCGGUGGCGAACGCAGCCACCUGGACAGGUAUUGACGCUAAGGUGCGAAAGCGUGGGGAGCAAACCGGAUUAGAUACCCUGGUAGUCCACACCGUAAACGAUGGAUACUAGGUGUCGGACAA